rnacentral:rRNA from 1 species
CGGUUUGGCACCUCGAUGUCGGCUUGUCACAUCCUGGGGCUGGAGAAGGUCCCAAGGGUCCGGCUGUUCGCCGGUUAAAGUGGCACAUGAGCUGGGUUCAGAACGUCGUGAGACAGUUCGGUCUGUAUCCGUCGUGGGCGUGGGAGUGUUGAGGGACGUCGUCUCUAGUACGAGAGGACCGAGACGAAGCGACCGCUCGUGUACGGGCUGUCCCGCCAGGGGCAACGCCCGGUAGCGAUGUCGCGCGGAGAUAACCGCUGAAUGCAUCUAAGUGGGAAACUCUUCCCAAGAUGAACACUCCUGGAGCUUAAGCUCCCUGUAGGGCCCUGGAAGACUACCAGGUACAUAGGCGGCAGGUGCACGGGGAGUGAUCCCUUUAGCCGAGCCGUACUAAUCGCCCGUGAAGUUUGAUCUC